UACGUAGGGUGCAGGCGUUAAUCGGAAUUACUGGGCGUAAAGCGUGCGCAGGCGGUCUGCUAAGAGAGGUGUGAAAUCCCCGGGCUUAACCUGGGAACUGCGCUUCUAACUGGCAGGCUAGAGUGUGGCAGAGGGGGGUGGAAUUCCACGUGUAGCAGUGAAAUGCGUAGAGAUGUGGAGGAACACCGAUGGCGAAGGCAGCCCCCUGGGCUAACACUGACGCUCAUGCACGAAAGCGUGGGGAGCAAACAGG
rnacentral:rRNA from 2 species